CCCUCUAAUUACUUCCAGCUUUACAAACAAAAUCCAUCCACACGUUGAAACCCUAGCUUCUCUCUGAGUCACCGUCAUACACCGCCACCAUCACCACCAUACACCACCACCAUCACCACCACAAUACGCCACCAGCAUCAGCGAACGCAAACAUUAAACACCACCAGCAACAACCACUACGAUUUAAUAGAAGGUCUAGCACCAUCCAUGUACGAUUUUUCAGAUUUCGGCUGAGAUUUUUCGAAUCUACAUUAAUAAUCUACAUAUUAUUCAGAUCUGCUUGCGGAAAACUAUUACAAAACUUUAGCUGGUGCCGAUUUUGACUGAGAUCUAUGCAGUAUUAGUUUCUAGGGUUUCAGAUCUUAAAUCUCAGUUUAAGAUACUCCUUGAUCCAGGCUGACACCUGAUGUGUCUAGAGCAUUUGAGGUUCUAGGAGACAUAUUGGAGCAUAUUUUCUUCAGUUUGCAUAGUGAUGAGAAGAAUUUACAAUUUUGGCAAGCUAGAGCAAAGGAUUGUAAGGGUCAAUGGGGUGGGUGUAGGGAAGGCAUCGGUGAACAGGUUUGCCGCGUGGUAACACUGCUGCCGACCCUCACCACCCCGGUGAUUGAGUAAAGAAGCGG